rnacentral:rRNA from 1 species
UACGAAGGGGGCUAGCGUUGUUCGGAAUUACUGGGCGUAAAGGGCGCGUAGGCGGCCCUCCAAGUCAGAUGUGAAAGCCCCGGGCUUAACCUGGGAAUUGCAUUUGAGACUGAAGGGCUUGAGUUUCGGAGAGGUGGGUGGAAUUCCCAGUGUAGAGGUGAAAUUCGUAGAUAUUGGGAAGAACACCGGGUGGCGAAAGGCGGCCCGACUGGACGAACACUGACGC